rnacentral:rRNA from 1 species
CCUACGGGAGGCAGCAGUAGGGAAUAUUGCUCAAUGGGGGAAACCCUGAAGCAGCAACGCCGCGUGGAGGAUGAAGGUUUUCGGAGUGUAAACUCCUUUCGUUAGAGAAGAUAAUGACGGUAUCUAACGAAUAAGCACCGGCUAACUCCGUGCCAGCAGCCGCGGUAAUACGGAGGGUGCAAGCGUUACUCGGAAUCACUGGGCGUAAAGAGCGCGUAGGCGGGAUAGCAAGUCUGAUGUGAAAUCCUAUGGCUUAACCAUAGAACUGCUUUUGAAACUGUUAAUCUAGAGUAUGGGAGAGGUAGGUGGAAUUCUUGGUGUAGGGGUAAAAUCCGUAGAGAUCAAGAGGAAUACUCAUUGCGAAGGCGGCCUGCUGGAACAUAACUGACGCUGAUGCGCGAAAGCGUGGGGAGCAAACAGGAUUAGAUACCCGUGUAGUC